rnacentral:rRNA from 33 species
CAAAACGACUCUCGGCAACGGAUAUCUCGGCUCUCGCAUCGAUGAAGAACGUAGCGAAAUGCGAUACUUGGUGUGAAUUGCAGAAUCCCGUGAACCAUCGAGUCUUUGAACGCAAGUUGCGCCCGAAGCCGUCAGGCCGAGGGCACGUCUGCCUGGGCGUCACGCA